AGGCAUUAGUCCCCUGACCUCUCAGGCUGAUGGCUCUCUGAUUAAAGCCGUUAUUCUUGCCCCAGGAACUUGCCUUCCGAUGUACUGGUCUUUCGUGUGGUGAGCAGAAGUCCUUAUCAACUCUGUCAGAAGUGACCUGACAUCUCUCCUGUAGAGUGGAAUCUCAGACAAAUGUGUCCUCCAGUCUUCGAAGAUGGCUCCCGAAAGCUGAAAACUCCCUCCACUAUGGCAGCUAAAAUCCAAAACAAGCACUCUGAAAAGGCCCAAAUUCACACUUGGAAGUUUGGAAAUUAAAAAAUCAUAAACCAAGCCACAGCCUGCUUAGAUCACCUGAGAAUGGGCUCCUCUUCUUCUCCGGACUUUGUGAUUUCCACUCAGCCCUCCACUUCUAACCUCAGUGGGCUUCCUGGAGUCCUGCCAGGAGAGCCAGCUUCCACUUGAAUCCUGGGACUAAUCUUCACCCCCAAUGAGGGACAUACAAGAAUCACUCAAGUGUGGCAAUAAUUCACUAGUUCAACCUCAAGCGGCUGAGUUGUGUCCAAGUCUUUGAGACUCCACGGACUACAGUUCUGCCAGGCUCCUCUGUCCACGGGAUUUCCCAGACAAGAAAACUGGAGUGAGUUGCCGUUCCCUUCUCCAGUGGAUCUUCACGACCCAGGGACUGAACCCCAUCUCCUGCAUUGGCAGAUGGAUUCUUUAUCACUGAGCCACCAGUAGAAAGCUUAUGCUUUCAUAAGGUGUCAAGAUGUAGAGGACCCUAACCACAGUGCUAGUUCAGACAGAAGAGAGAGAGCAAAAAUGGAUUUACUAUGCAUUCAUGAAUCUCAUACUGCAGGGAACCUCGCUUGUAUGAGCUCCUUUCAAGACCCUGGCAGGAGCCCAAGAAAUCUAUGCACAAGGUCACUUGUGUUUGUAAAUUUGCAAAAGAAAGAAGGCAAAUUGAGGCGCUAUUACUUCAUUUUGGCCAGGAACUGCUUGGGACCAGCAGCAAGUCCUUAGACCUUCACUAAACUAUGCCAAGCAGACUUCACAUCAGCACCAAUAGACUCUCAAAGCCAAUAGAACACUAUCUCCAAGAAAUAUUUUGCCAAGAAAACAAAGUUGCUUUCAAUCUGAAAUUUUGUACAAGAGUGG
ensembl:lncRNA